AUGGACCUGGACGGCUUCCCACUUGACCACGAGUUUCCGGAUGACUACGGGCAAGAGGAAGAAGACGAGUGCGACAUCGAAGUGGAGCCUUUGUUUGAGGACGAGCUCGCCAACCAAGCCGCCGGGCCAAAGCCGAAGCGUAAGAGCAAGCGCACGAAGGCAUACACGGCGGCCAAGGACAACCUUCUUUGCGAGUGUUGGAGGGACAUUGGACAAGACCCCAAGAUCGGCGCCGAACAAAAGCAUUCAACUUUUUGGAUUCGUGUCCACCAGGAGUUUCAUGAGCGCAAGAAGUUUCCUCCUUACCAAAUUGUGGCCGCGAGAGCCUUCUUUUUUUGUAUGCCGACUUGUGCGCUGGCAUGA
rnacentral:rRNA from 1 species